CCUUCUCCAGGUGAUGGGGCUCGCCCGGAAAAGACCGCUCGCAUAGCCCGAGCUGAUAGCUCCUACUUCAGG
rnacentral:ncRNA from 1 species